GGGGUUGUACUGGUUUCGACGGGGGUUUUGAAGUUGCGGAAGCCAUUCGCGGACUAGGACCGCGUCAUCAACUUAGAAAUUAAAUUUAAACGCAGACGAAAAUUUAGCGUACGCUGCCUAAUGGCAGCUGUCGACCUUAAGCUUCUUGCGGCUUAAGACCUCGGCAUCAAAUUAGCAAGGCACUUUGUCCUCAAAGCUUUGAGAGGAUAAAAGAAACAUGAAGCUACCAAAGUCAUGAGCCUGUCAACCGGCGCUUGACGGAGGGAACAGCAGGUAAGACCUGCAUAAAUGAUUGACUGUAAUGGGAGAUGCUGCAAUGAAUGGGCUUUCGGACAGGGGUUCGAUUCCCCUCAGCUCCA
rnacentral:tmRNA from 1 species